AAUGUUGUUGCAAUAGUAAUUGAGCUUAGUACGAGAGGAACUGUUCAUUCUGAUAAUUGGUAUUUGGGCCUGCCUGAGCAGGCAAUGGCCCGUAGCUAUCAUCCGUUGGGUUAUGAAUGAACGCCUCUAAGUCAGAACCCGUGCUAGAACGCGACGAUUACCACCUUUGCCGAUUUUUAGUUGAAUACGAAUAGAGUCUCGGAUCUUGUAUCUUACUACUAGGGUCGAUCUUACAGAGCGGAAAGGCUUUGUGAGGUUUCCCACUAAUGUUAAUUUCAAAUAUAGCACAAGAUAAAUCCAUUGCAACGACAUUAAUUGAACGGGGUAUUGUAAGCAGUAGAGUAGCCUUGUUGCUACGAUCUAUAGAUUCGUUCGAUUUUUUUUUUUUUU
rfam:Mortierella elongata AG-77 unplaced genomic scaffold K457scaffold_58, whole genome shotgun sequence.